GUACUGCUGAGGAGUCGUAAACUAUGCUGACGAAACAGCUGUCCAGUAC
rfam:Trichobilharzia regenti genome assembly, scaffold: TRE_scaffold0127055